AGUGAACGCUGGCGGUAGGCCUAACACAUGCAAGUCGAACGGCAGCACAGUAAGAGCUUGCUCUUACGGGUGGCGAGUGGCGGACGGGUGAGGAAUACAUCGGAAUCUACUUUUUCGUGGGGGAUAACGUAGGGAAACUUACGCUAAUACCGCAUACGACCUACGGGUGAAAGCAGGGGAUCUUCGGACCUUGCGCGAUUGAAUGAGCCGAUGUCGGAUUAGCUAGUUGGCGGGGUAAAGGCCCACCAAGGCGACGAUCCGUAGCUGGUCUGAGAGGAUGACCAGCCACACUGGAACUGGGACACGGUCCAGACUCCUACGGGAGGCAGCCGUGGGGAAUAUUGGACAAUGGGCGCAAGCCUGAUCCAGCCAUACCGCGUGGGUGAAGAAGGCCUUCGGGUUGUAAAGCCCUUUUGUUGGGAAAGAAAAGCAGCAGGUUAAUACCCCGCUGUUCUGACGGUACCCAAAGAAUAAGCACCGGCUAACUUCGUG
rnacentral:rRNA from 1 species